rnacentral:rRNA from 1 species
CUUAGUGGCAGACGGGUGAGUAAUGUAUAGGAAUCUACCUAGUAGUACGGAAUAAUUGUUGGAAACGACAACUAAUACCGUAUACGCCCUACGGGGGAAAAAUUUAUUGCUAUUAGAUGAGCCUAUAUUAGAUUAGCUAGUUGGUGGGGUAAUAGCCUACCAAGGUAAUGAUCUAUAGCUGAUCUGAGAGGAUGAUCAGCCACACUGGAACUGAGAUACGGUCCAGACUCCUACGGGAGGCAGCAGUGGGGAAUAUUGGACAAUGGGCGAAAGCCUGAUCCAGCCAUGCCGCAUGAGUGAAGAAGGCCUUUGGGUUGUAAAGCUCUUUUAGUGAGGAAGAUAAUGACGGUACUCACAGAAGAAGUCCUGGCUAACUCCGUGCCAGCAGCCGCGGUAAUACGGAGAGGGCUAGCGUUAUUCGGAAUUAUUGGGCGUAAAGGGCGCGUAGGCUGGUUAAUAAGUUAAAAGUGAAAUCCCGAGGCUUAACCUUGGAAUUGCUUUUAAAACUAUUAAUCUAGAGAUUGAAAGAGGAUAGGGGAAUUCCUGAUGUAGAGGUAAAAUUCGUAAAUAUUAGGAGGAACACCAGUGGCGAAGGCGUCUAUCUGGUUCAAAUCUGACGCUGAAGCGCGAAGGCGUGGGGAGCAAACAGGAUUAGAUACCCUGGUAGUCCACGCUGUAAACGAUGAAUGUUAAAUAUGGGGAGUUUACUUUCUGUAUUACAGCUAACGCGUUAAACAUUCCGCCUGGGGACUACGGUCGCAAGAUUAAAACUCAAAGGAAUUGACGGGGACCCGCACAAGCGGUGGAGCAUGUGGUUAAAUUCGAUGCAACGCGAAAAACCAAAGUACUUUCUUGACAUGAAAUAUAACCCUUAUUCA